rnacentral:lncRNA from 1 species
UACUCAUGUCUGAAUAUGGCUAAAGGAGUGACUUGGCUUUUCUAGGGUCCAGUUCUUUAAGUACUAAAUAAGAGCAACAUAGGGGACAACUAGAUAGCCAACCACGUAACUUGGUGACUCAGAAGUUCUUGUGUCUAUGCUUCAUGGAUGGGAAUAGCCCUAAGAUGGGCACACCAGGAAGGCUUGUGGGAUGAGUGGAGUGAGCAAGCAUCAAAGCAGGAAAGAGAGCACAAUGGGAUGACCCACUUUGCACAUGAGGGUCCAUCCAGGAGGAGAAGCCCAAACUCCAGAGUCUGCUGAGCAUUCUGCACAAGAGGCGGUUCAAGGGGACAAGAGAGAAGAAAUGGAUCUUUAAAAGUACCAUAGCCAGGGUUUCACGAAGUAGGAAGAUAAUUUUGAAUAUCAAGAGCAAUCACCCACAAGAAAAUAUCAAUUGAGGGACACGGGAUCGUCAUGAAAGAGGGGAUGCCUGCACAUCAUGGAUAAGGGUCUCCGUGUUCAGAGCUAGCAUCAUGGCGGAGGAACCUCAGCUUCUUCAUGGUGCUUCCA